GGAUAGCUCAGUGGCAGAGGGCAUGCCUAGCAUGCAUGAGGUCCUGGGUUUAAUCCUCAGUACCACCA
rfam:Camelus ferus unplaced genomic scaffold scaffold1857, whole genome shotgun sequence.